CCUACGGGAGGCAGCAGUAGGGGAUAUUGCUCAAUGGGGGAAACUCUGAAGCAGCAACGCCGCGUGGAGGAUGAAGGUUUUCGGAUUGUAAACUCCUUUUGUUAGAGAAGAUAAUGACGGUAUCUAACGAAUAAGCACCGGCUAACUCCGUGCCAGCAGCCGCGGUAAUACGGAGGGUGCAAGCGUUACUCGGAAUCACUGGGCGUAAAGAGCGCGUAGGCGGGAUAGCAAGUCAGAUGUUAAAUCCUAUGGCUUAACCAUAGAACUGCAUUUGAAACUGUUAUUCUAGAGUAUGGGAGAGGUAGGUGGAAUUCUUGGUGUAGGGGUAAAAUCCGUAGAGAUCAAGAGGAAUACUCAGUGCGAAGGCGACCUGCUAGAACAUAACUGACGCUGAUGCGCGAAAGCGUGGGGAGCAAACAGGAUUAGAUACCCCUGUAGUC
rnacentral:rRNA from 1 species